rnacentral:rRNA from 1 species
UACGGAGGGUGCAAGCGUUAUCCGGAUUCACUGGGCGUAAAGCGUCUGUAGGUGGUUCGAAAAGUCCACUGUUAAAAAUUGAGGCUUAACUUCAAAGAUGCCGUGGAAACUUUCAAACUAGAGUAUGGUAGGGGUAGAGGGAAUUUCCAGUGGAGCGGUGAAAUGCGUAGAUAUUGGAAAGACCACCGAUGGCGAAGGCACUCUACUGGGCCACUACUGACACUGAGAGACGAAAGCUAGGGGAGCAAAUGGG